AAAACCAACACACAGACCCUCUUCUCCUUACUGAUUUUAUUGCUACUCACUAAAGAGAAGUAGAAAAGAUCACAAAAAGCAAUACAUCUACGUGUUAAAAACUCUUGACUCUUCUUGACACAAUCAUGGGAGCCUGUCGACUUCUGUGCUCUGAAGUCCUCAUCCCAUGUAGGAGCUGAAGACAGUGCCUACAAGAGCCCACAUUUUAGGGCAAAGGCAAGAAUAGACAGUCUGACUGGUUGCCCUGC
rnacentral:lncRNA from 1 species